GAGCUGGAAGUUGCACCACCGCGCUGAAGUUUUCAGAUAAGCAGCCAGCCAGUUGUUUAACUUAGAAAACAUUAACUUCUUUGUGUGGCUUGUGGCAGUGUAGCAAUAGGUGGAAGGGGAAAGAGAAUAGAAUAGAAAGCAAUACUGCUUUAUUGUUUCUAUAAAGGACUGUGAUUGCUUUGUUAUCAAUACUGAAUGGCGGAAAGAGACUUUCUUGCUGUUACCCUUCCCUUAUGAAACAGAAGUACAUUCAUGAUAAACAGUUACAGUGGAAAAAUAUAUCACUGCAGUAUGUGUACUGACCAUAGGAAAUACCACUGUAGGUUUAUAGGUUCCUCAAAAUGAAUUGAACUAAACUGUUCUCUAACAGUGGAUAUUUCACAUAUUUGGAGUAUAAAAACAAGCAGUUGUCUGGCAAUAUAAGGUAGCAGAAACAUCUAAAAUGAAGAUAUAUUGGCUUUGCAUGUGUGAGAACUGCUAGAACUUCACUGCAGCGUAGGCAGAUGGAGGAUUAGACUGUCCUGUUGCAGAUCAACCUAAAUUGAAUUAACUUGAGUCUGCCUUGGACUGACUUCUCACAGAUGAAAAUUAGAGUUUAUGAGGCAAAUUUUCUGAGUAGCAAAAGGAGGAAUUAUUCUGGCAUCCUGUGAGUCUGCUGAGAUUUCCUUGGCUCAGGAGUACAUCUUCUGCCCCUUCUGAACUCUACAGGGUUUUUUUUUAAGUUAGAAGAACUUAAUCAAGACUUAUGAGAUUGUGCUGCUGGCUGUGGAGCCCUCUGAGUAAUUUUGUGGGCUUCUCCUUCAAGCAUAAAGGACUUACUAAAAUUUUUCUGUAUUUUCUUUCUUGCCUGUACUUUUAUGUUUCCAUCUAUGUAAAAUGUCUUAUGUGGAGCUGAUAAUUAUUUGCCCAACUAGAAUUGAAAAUACUUGAAGGAUAACUCUAAAAGGUUUCUUCACACAGAUCUGCUGAGCUGUUAGAUUUUCUGAAACAAGUUUUUCUAUAGUCCUUCCAUAUUUGCAUUUGUAAACUGUAUCCCACUUCAGUGUCAUUAACAACUUUCUUUAACACUAGAUACUGACAUGCUACUUUUAGUAUGGUUACUGCCACUUAUGUUGAUCAUAACUCAUUUAUCAGUUGGGCUGUUGAUCAAUAUAAGCUCUUGGUAUGUUGGGUCAGCAGUUUCAAAAACCCUGGUGAGGCCAAUAUGUUGGUGGUAUAGGGGAUUCCUUUCUCCCUGCUGAACCUGAACAUUUGCCCUCAGCCUUUUGGGCCUGUGUCUCCUCUGUCAGAAUGAAAGGGGGGAAAUCAAUAAAAUGGGAUGUUCUUGUCCAUAUUCACUGCUGAGCUUUAAGCAGUUUGUAUCUUAGUUUGGAUAAGCAAGGAAAAAAUAUGUCAAUGGAUUUGUAACUACACCAAUAUUAUCUGUUACCUUUCAGGCCUCCAUUAUUUACUUACACCAUUUAUGCACCUUCAGAGAAAUCAGCCAAGCUGUGUGUCUAGUUACAAGCAAAUAUUUAAGUAUGUGACCUGUAAAGGCAUUUAGAUUGCUAUUUAUGUGCAAUUGCUUUUUAAUUUCAUUGAAGAUUAUGUGAUUGAAUGCAUUUAUAGAUCAGUUAUUGCACAGGAAUGACAGGCUUUUUCUUAAUAGUCACAUAAUAAAAGUAUUUUCUAUAUAGAAGAAAAAUAUUUAUGCUAAGAUUAAUUAUUAUCAAAAUAUGGUUUCAAAAUGUGUUUAAUACCAGUAUAUUGGGACUUCAAUGGCCAUAUAUUUCAAAUAGGGACAUUUUAUUUAAUAUUGUAUCAUUAACCAUUUCUGGGUUUAAUUAACAUGGAUUUUUAUUUGCCAAAACUUGGACAGGAAAGAAACUUUUAUGAUAAAAAUGUUUCAUUUGUCUUUUUAUAUAACAAGAAAUACUAAUGUAUAUCUGCCUGAAUUCCAGUAUUAGGAAAAUGAACUUUUGUAAAUUCAAGAGUUAAUUUUGUUUCUCGUUUUGUUUUUCUGAGAGGGAGAGUGUCUUAUGAGGUGCUGUAAAUACUGGACAGGCACUAGUAGAGCUAACAGAUUUUGAAAAGUGGCUUCUACACUAACUCAAUUUUUACUCUCCCAGUCUAUUACCCAUUUACUUCAAUACCUUCAAUAUGAUACAGGUAUAGCAACAAUAAGUGGAUUUCUAGCUAUUUCUUGACAUUCAUAGGCUUACAUGCUGAGGUUUCAUCUCCCAGUUCACUGUAGGCUUUCAAAGAUUCAGAACCAGUAUUUUCAGACUUGACUUCUUACUCUAAAAUUCUGCUAAUCACCUAAUUUGUGUAAAAACCUUCAGGGAAAGUCUUGACUUUUGUUAAGAGAUCAAAAUUUGCCCAUCACUGGCAGGCCGUGUGCAUCUGACUUAUAUUUCUGAUCAGUUGUUUUUAAAGGUCAGGUGUGCCUUCCAUGAGUGGGUGCUGACGUUCCAGGUGUCUCCUCAACAGAGUGAUCUCUCCUUAGAAGACUGUGGCCAGUUUCUUACUAAACUGUAGCAGUUGUAGUCUCAUGCUGCUAAGAAAUUGCUGUGUUAUAUUCUGCUUUUCAGCUUAGAAAAAAAACUUUCAGGAGAAAUCUAUUUUCUUUGUAGAGCAUACAGACUUAUUUCAAUUAUAUAUAGAGAGAGAUUGUGUGGUUUUUUUCCUGAAUGAAAUGGUCACUUAAUCCCAGAAGAUUUUUUUUUCCCUGGGAAGUAAUUAAUUACUGAAGGCAAACUCGUACAAUAGAAGCUAUUUUGAAAUCUUAAUUGUAGUGUUGAUUAUAUUCAAUUUACAGGCUUCUGGACAUGACAAAAUGAAGUCGGUAGGUUUUUUAGACACUGAAAAUUAGAUGUAUAAUUAGUCCGUUCGUGUCAUUAUUAAGACAUUAUUUCCUUUUUGUUAUUGAUCAAUGAUAAAAGCAGAAAUUUCUUCUUUCAAAUGAAAUUAUGAUUGUAAUAUUUGUGAUCCAGCAUUUUUAAUGUUAAUUUGCCAUUUGCUGUCACUGGAAAGAAAGUAUUUUCAUUGGAGAUUAUUUUCUGGAUUGGACUGGAAAGUGUGGCUUUGUGCUUUAUUAUUUUUAUAGGGUGGAGAAGUUUUCCUGGUCUGCUUCUGAAAGAGGAAAAAAAAAGAUCAAAGUGAAAUCCUCUGACAUUUUUCCUGAGAAAAGACCACCCUACUGUUUGAUAGGUUUUAUGUUUUUCUCUUGCUUGAUGAUUGAUGUUUCUCUGGUACACUGACGUGUGUCUCGAGAGCAUAAAAGUGAGGGGAGGAUGGUGCUAACAUUAGAUAUCAUUUGAAAAGACUUAGUGUGAUGAUUUCAAUGUGUUUUAUUUUUCUGUCCAUUGCUUAUUAUAUUUUUCUGAAGCCAGGAAAAUUCUUGUGUUCCACUUGGUGAAUAUUUUUCUGCAAUGUUACUCACCGAGUUGAAACAAUUUGUGUAGUUAGUUAUUAAUCUGUCACUCUAAAGGAUUUAUUUUCUGCUGGUUUCUGCUCCCUACUGCCAUGAUUCUGUGAGGAAUCAUUUUUCUUAGGUGACUCUUCAGUGUAAGAAACUAUUUGAAUGUGUUAAGAACAGUACAUUAUUUUAAUAUAACCAAGUUAAGGAAAAGGAGAUAGUGGAUAAA